CCGUCGCGGUUAUACGAAGGAUUUAAAUGAAAUAGUUUGGUGGAAUAAAGUAAAUAUUUGUUUUAAAUAAAUUUUUUAAAUAAAAAAUUAAAGGUAAAAUUUUCAUUUUUUUAAAUGAAAAAUUGUGGAAGAAUAUAUUAUCUUUGAAAAUAAAGAUUUAAACUAGGAUUAGAUACCCUAUUAUUCUUUAUUAUAAUAAUUGCCAGGGUAGUAAAAAUUUUUAAACCUAAAGAAUUUGGCGGUACUUUAUUCUUACUAGAGGAACCUGCUCUUGGAUCGAUAAUCCACGUUUAAAUGUACAUGUUUUGGUUUUCAGUUUGUAUACCGCCGUUGUCAGAUUAUUUUUAAAAAAUAUAAUCUAAUUAAUAGUUAGUUGGGACUUCAGGUCAAGGUGCAGCUUAUAAACAUGGGAGUAGUGGGUUACAAUAAAUUAAAAUUAUACGGAUUAAUUAAUGUGAUGAUGAUUAUGAAGGUGGAUUUAGUAGUAAAUUAAGAACAAAAUUCUUUUUUGAAAUGAGCUCUGAAGUGUGUACACAUCGCCCGUCGCUCUCUCCCUUAAGGAGAGAUAAGUCGUAAC
rnacentral:rRNA from 1 species